GGUUUAAAAUUAAUAAAAUAAAUAAAUAAUAAAAAAAAUUUUAAUAUUAAAAUAUACAUAUAAUAGGGGUUAAAGUAUUUUUAAUAGAAAAAAUUAAAAAAUUUAUAGUUAAUUAGUAUUGUAAAAGAAUUUUGAAAUAAUAUUUGAAAAUAAAUUAUUUAAAAAGUAAAUUUAAUUUGUUGUAUCUUGUGUAUCAGAGUUUAUUAAAUAUUUUUUAUAAAUAAGUAAAAAUCUCGAAUUUAAAAGAGAUAAUUAAUUAAAAAAGUUAUUGUAGUAAAAAUAUUUUUAAUAGUUAAUUUGAAAUGAAAUGUUAUUCGUUUUUAAAUAUAUCUAGUUUUUAUAGAAAAAAAUUUAAUUUUAUAUUUAUUAAAGAAAAAUGAAAUAAAUAAUUAAUUAAUUAUUUUAAAUUUAAAUAUAAUAUUUUAAGGGAUAAGCUUUAAAUUAAAUAAUUAUAAUAAAUAAUUUUAAUUAUAAAAAUUUUAGAAUUUAUAUUGUUUAUAAUUUAUAAUUUAUUAUAAAUAAUUUUAAUUAAAUUAAAAUUUUAUUGAAAAUUUAAAUUUUUAUAUAAAAAAAUUUUUUAAUAAAAAAAAAAUAUUAAUAAUGAUAAAAUUAGUAUAUAAAAUAUAAAAAAAAAUUAUAAAUUUAUUUAUGAUUUAUUUUAUUGGAAAUAAUUUUAUUAUAGUUAAAUUAAAGGAAUUCGGCAAAAUUAUAUAUUCACUUGUUUAACAAAAACAUGGUUUUUUGAUUAAUAAUUUAAAAUUUAAUCUGCCCACUGAUAAAUAUUAAAGGGCUGCAGUAUUUUGACUGUACAAAGGUAGCAUAAUCAUUAGUCUCUUAAUUGGUGACUUGUAUGAAAGAUUGGAUGAAAUAUAAACUGUCUCUAGUUUAAUAAUAGAAUUUAAUUUUUUAAUUAAAAAGUUAAAAUUUAUUUAAAAGACGAGAAGACCCUAUAGAGUUUUAUAAAUAAAUUAAUUUAAUUAAUUUAUUUAUAAAAAUAAUUAGAUUAAUUUAUUUAUUUUAUUGGGGUGAUAAAAAAAUAUAAUAAACUUUUUAUUUUUAUUUACAUAAAUAAGUGAUUAUUUGAUCCAAAAUUUUUGAUUAUAAGAAAAAAUUACCUUAGGGAUAACAGCGUAAUUUUUUUUUUUAGUUCAAAUAAGAAAAAGAGUUUGCGACCUCGAUGUUGGAUUAAGAUAAAAUUUAAGUGCAAAAAUUUAAAAUUUUGAUCUGUUCGAUCAUUAAAAUCUUACAUGAUCUGAGUUCAAACCGGUGUGAGCCAGGUUGGUUUCUAUCUUUAAAUUAAGUAAAUAUUUUAGUACGAAAGGAUUUAAUAUUUAAAUUAAAUUUAUAUAUAUAUAUAUACUUAUAUAAUAGAAUAUUAUUAAUUUUAAUUAGGUAAAAUUUAAAAUUAAAAAUUAAUU
rnacentral:rRNA from 1 species